UUCAAUGAUGUAAAAGAUUGUGAGAAGAAACAGCGAAAGAGAGCGAGUACAAUAAGUCUUAGCGAUCUGAAAGUGAUACUUGAAGAAAUAGAAAAAGCAAAAAAGGUCA